AGGAUCAUUACAGAGUUGGGGUCUUUCAGGCCCGAUCUCCAACCCUAUGUGUACUCACCCUCGUUGCUUUGGCGGGCCCGGUCGGGGUGACCCACCCGGUGGCCUUUGGCUUCACAGUGCCCGUCAGAGACCUAUUCAAAACCUGUUAAUUGUGUCGUCUGGGUAUCAAUGCAAUAAUUAAAACUUUCAACAACGGAUCUCUUGGUUCUGGCAUCGAUGAAGAACGCAGCGAAAUGCGAUAAGUAAUGUGAAUUGCAGAAUUCAGUGAAUCAUCGAAUCUUUGAACGCACAUUGCGCCUCUCGGUAUUCCGGGAGGCAUGCCUGUUCGAGCGUCAUUUCACCACUCAAGCCAUGCUUGACGUUGGGUCGUCGUCCCCUUGGGGCGUGCCCGAAAACCAGUGGCGGGCACAGUCCGGCUUCAAGCGGUAUCAAUUUGUCCUCGCUUUGGAAGUUUUGGACCUGGGCUUGCCAGACAACCCCCCCUUUUUAUCAAGGUUGACCUCGGAUCAGGUAGGGAUACCCGCUGAACUUAAGCAUAUCAAUAAGCGGAGGAAAAGAAACCAACAGGGAUUGCCUCAGUAACGGCGAGUGAAGCGGCAACAGCUCAAAUUUGAAAUCUGGCCCUUUCGGGGUCCGAGUUGUAAUUUGCAGAGGAUGCUUCGGGUUCAGCUCCGGUCUAAGUUCUUUGGAACAGGACGUCAUAGAGGGUGAGAAUCCCGUAUGUGACCGGUCGCCACGCCCGUGUGAAGCUCCUUCGACGAGUCGAGUUGUUUGGGAAUGCAGCUCAAAAUGGGUGGUAAAUUUCAUCUAAAGCUAAAUAUUGGCCAGAGACCGAUAGCGCACAAGUAGAGUGAUCGAAAGAUGAAAAGCACUUUGGAAAGAGAGUCAAACAGUACGUGAAAUUGUUGAAAGGGAAGCGCUUGCAACCAGACUUGCCCGCAGGCGAUCAGCCGGUAUUCUUACCGGUGCACUCGCCUGCGGUCAGGCCAGCAUCGGUUCGGGUGGCUGGAUAAAGUCCACUGGAAUGUAGCUCCCCUCGGGGAGUGUUAUAGCCAGAGGUGCCAUGCAGCCCGCCCGGACCGAGGACCGCGCU
rnacentral:sRNA from 1 species